AUUGAACGCUGGCGGCAUGCUUUACACAUGCAAGUCGAACGGCAGCGCGGGCUUCGGCCUGGCGGCGAGUGGCGAACGGGUGAGUAAUACAUCGGAACGUGCCCAGUAGUGGGGGAUAGCCCGGCGAAAGCCGGAUUAAUACCGCAUACGACCUGAGGGUGACAGCGGGGGAUCUUCGGACCUCGCGCCAUUGGACCGGCCGAUGGCCGCUUAGCUAGUUGGUGGGGUAAAGGCCUACCGAGGCGACGAUCUGUAGCUGGUCUGAGUGGACGACCAGCCACACUGGGACUGAGACACGGCCCAGACUCCUACGGGAGGCAGCAGUGGGGAAUUUUGGACAAUGGGCGAAAGCCUGAUCCAGCAAUGCCGCGUGUGUGAUGAAGGCCUUCGGGUUGUAAAGCACUUUUGGCGGGAACGAAAAGGACUGUGCCAAUACCACGGUUCGAUGACGGUACCCGCAGAAUAAGCACCGGCUAACUACGUG
rnacentral:rRNA from 1 species